UUAAUGAGAGUUUGAUCCUGGCUCAGGACGAACGCUGGCGGCGUGCCUAAUACAUGCAAGUAGAACGCUGAGGUUUGGUGUUUACACUAGACUGAUGAGUUGCGAACGGGUGAGUAACGCGUAGGUAACCUGCCUCAUAGCGGGGGAUAACUAUUGGAAACGAUAGCUAAUACCGCAUAAGAGUAAUUAACACAUGUUAGUUAUUUAAAAGGAGCAAUUGCUUCACUGUGAGAUGGACCUGCGUUGUAUUAGCUAGUUGGUGAGGUAAAGGCUCACCAAGGCGACGAUACAUAGCCGACCUGAGAGGGUGAUCGGCCACACUGGGACUGAGACACGGCCCAGACUCCUACGGGAGGCAGCAGUAGGGAAUCUUCGGCAAUGGACGGAAGUCUGACCGAGCAACGCCGCGUGAGUGAAGAAGGUUUUCGGAUCGUAAAGCUCUGUUGUUAGAGAAGAACRUUGGUAGG
rnacentral:rRNA from 1 species